rnacentral:rRNA from 1 species
UGGGGGAUAUUGCACAAUGGGCGAAAGCCUGAUGCAGCGACGCCGCGUGGGGGAUGAAGGCCUUCGGGUUGUAAACUUCUUUUGCUCUGAACAAGGCAUGCCUUUGGGGUGUGUUGAGUGUAGGGGUUGAUUAGCGCCGGCUAACUACGUGCCAGCAGCCGCGGUAAUACGUAGGGCGCGAGCGUUGUCCGGAAUUAUUGGGCGUAAAGGGCUUGUAGGUGGCUGGUUGCGUCUGUCGUGAAAGCUCAUGGCUUAACUGUGGGUUUGCGGUGGGUACGGGCUGGCUUGAGUGCAGUAGGGGAGGCUGGAAUUCCUGGUGUAGCGGUGGAAUGCGCAGAUAUCAGGAGGAAUACCGGUGGGGAAGGCGGGUCUCUGGGCUGUUACUGACGCUGAGGAGCGAAAGCGUGGGGAGCGAACAGG